GAUGAACGCUGGCGGCGUGCCUAAUACAUGCAAGUCGAGCGAACGGACGAGAAGCUUGCUUCUCUGAUGUUAGCGGCGGACGGGUGAGUAACACGUGGAUAACCUACCUAUAAGACUGGGAUAACUUCGGGAAACCGGAGCUAAUACCGGAUAAUAUUUUGAACCGCAUGGUUCAAAAGUGAAAGACGGUCUUGCUGUCACUUAUAGAUGCAUCCGGGCUGCAUUAGCUAGUUGGUAAGGUAACGGCUUAUCAAGGCAACGAUGCAUAGCCGACCUGAGAGGGGGAUAGGCCACACGGGAGGGGAGACGGGGUCCUUACUCCUGCGGGAGGGAGCAGUAGGGUAUCUUACGCAGUGGGCGAGAGCCUGACGGAGCAACGCGGCGUGAGUUGUGAAGGUGUUCGGAUCGUAAAGCUGUGUUAUUAGGUAAGAACAUAUGUGUCCGUAACUGUGCACAUCUUGACGGUACCUGGUCAGAAAGCCACGGCUAACUACGUG
rnacentral:rRNA from 1 species